UUAACUUGUUAAUCAUAAAAAUUGCUCUACAAGGAAGUAGACUGGAAACAUCCGGAUGUAGGGUUAUAAUUUAAAAUAAUAGCAAAACAGCCGCCCUUAAAAGAAGUAAAACUCUUAAUUCAAACUUACUGGAGAGCUGAUAAUGCGAGUGAAAAUGUUGGCAUCCAUAGAUAUUGGGAAGUGUUGGGAUUUGAAUUUUAUCAUUGACCAUCUGG
ensembl:misc_RNA